AGGGACGUGACCGAGUCUGGCCAAAGGUGGUGCGCUUAGGACGCACUCCAUAGAGACCUACCGCAGGUUCAAAUCCUGCCGUCCCUAUCA
rnacentral:tRNA from 2 species